GGGGAACUGAAACUCCUAAAUCUUAAAACACCCUGGGGAAGGAGCUGAUUCACGAAGGAGAGCGUUUCAACCGUGGCAUUUGCUCUCUGCAUUCCAGUUAGCAAAUGGGUGACUAUCUACAGGCACCAUGACAGUGUUCCCAACAAGGCAGAAAUCAGCCUGGUCUCUCCUUCCCUGCUCCUGGUUGACUGCCCGUGACAUGACAAAACAUUGGCAGUGGUGGCGCAGAGAUGCAACUCGAGUGUGAAUAAAGUUUAGAAGCAUUUGCUUUUGAUGGUUGAUUCCAGUGGAUCAUUUUGAGAUGCAUAAAUUAGAAUGGGUACUGUCAUAUAUGUCAGACUCAGCUCUGCUUCACUUC
rnacentral:lncRNA from 1 species